CUAUAUUUGAAUUCUUUGACAAUCGUUUUUUUUUUUUUUUUAGAGCAACAGUGGCAUGAUUAGUCGUAUUGAUGUACAAGCAUCCACAGUUAGUACAGAUUCAAGUUUGUUCAAACCAUGGCCCCUGAGUGUACAAUGCAGCUUCAAUAGUUGAUCAAAGUUUUACAUGGCAAUAUAUGGGGGAAUCGUCUUCUCAAAGCCAACCGGGCCAUGAUUAAUCGUAUCAAUAUGCAAGAAUCAGCAGGUAGCGCAGAUUCCAAUUUAUUCAAAUCAUAGCCCCAAGGAGUUACAUGAGGCGACGAUAGGGGAUCAAAGUUUUACCUGGUUAGAUGGAUCGAUGCCAUUUAGACUAAUCUCUUGAAAUAUUCCCAGACACCUUGAUAUCAAGGCCAUGACAUACAGUUCCCGAAUCCCGUGAGUGCUGACAUACCGUCAAAGCAGUGCAAUCACUUAUUUUUCAACUUUGAAUACAGGAUCAACAUGUGCUCCACAGCAAAGUUCCCACAAAACCCACGGCUGGAAAAAAGUUUAAGUGUUCACCAGGGGAGUACAUGUAUUUACGUCGAGAGGGCUAAAGAAAGGAUAAAGUCUACAUACCAGCAUUCUACGAGCUAAUAUCAACCAACAUAAAUAUGUGCAUGUGAUGCAUUAAACAGUAUAUUAUAUAUUAAUUAAUAGCUGUUGAUUCAACCGUAAUAAUUUUUUUUAACAUUUUCUUGAAUGACUGUAAAGUGCAAUGCUCUACAUGUGUCAAAUAGUUUAGUAUACAUAAAAAAUGCACUACUGAU